GGGAAACCGGAGCUAAUACUGGAUACGAGACGUAAAGGCAUCUUUAGCGUCUGGAAAGAAUUUCGGUCUUGGAUCGGCUCACGGCCUAUCAGCUUGUUGGUGAGGUAAUGGCUCACCAAGGCGACGACGGGUAGCCGGCCUGAGAGGGUGACCGGCCACACUGGGACUGAGACACGGCCCAG
rnacentral:rRNA from 1 species